rnacentral:lncRNA from 1 species
UGCCAUUGCAUUACAGACACCUGAUGAACCCAUCUCAUGCCCUCUUUGUUUAAUCCAUCUCUCCAGGUGUGGGAGUAUCUGUACCUGCGUUUCAGUGAGUCAUUACCACGCACACUUGGGUUAUACUGAUCUGACAUCAGCUGAGCAUGCCAAGAUGAAUGGCCCAUCAAAGGAAACUCUCAGUGGAGGUCCCACUUCCUCUCUCUCUGUUAUGACAGCGGGGACACCUCAUAUUCCCCAGCGACAGAUCUGUUGGAAAGGCUUGACAUUGGUUCACACCCCCACAGUCCUGCACUCAGGAGCCCCUGUCUGCGUGCGUCUCUGUCAGGAUACAGCUAAUAGCUUCUGGCACUCUGCUACAGUAUGUGGUCAUGAGAUUUGAUCAGGAUGAAGCAGCCUCAGAGCCUUGCUUUACCUCCUGAAGCAGCCUACAGAGCCUUGCUUUACCUCCUGGGUGUCCCUGUAGCAUGGCUGCUCUGAGGGAAGAAAUAAAUCCCAGGAAAAGAAGGAUUGUGAGGGGAUGGCAUCCUGUGGAGGAUCGGUAAACAGUUACUUGAAGCUUGCAGGGGGUGUUGGCAUAUUCACUGAAGAGUGCUGUGAAGUACCCAGGAGAACAUGUCAUAUUACAAAAUCAUAGCUAACACCACUUUCUCCAGCUUUAAAAUUUAAAUUUUGUCUUGUUUCAUUUAGCUGGGAACCAAUUUAAAGCCUGAUUAAUUACAUGAUAUAUACUAAAUCUCUGAAGCACAAUCCUGGAACCUGUACGUGCCCCUCGACUUUUAACCCACGUGCCUUUACAGAGCAAAGGCAUGGAUGAUACAAUCCUUAGAAGGGCAUCUUUCUCCAAGUCUCGGAGCCUGUUUAUGUAAGCCAGCAUAUAGCCUGGAACAUCUACAGGCCCAGUAUCAGUCAUUAGAUUAAUGAGCACAUCCCUGGAGAUCCUUCAUGCAAAACAAAGAUGUCACAACAGGCUGUUCUUCAUGAUGAGAUCUGCUCGUCCCCGAGCAGUGCUGCUGACAUGCAUGGUGUAAGAGCUCCUUAUGCACAUUUGUUCCUCCAUAAUGGACAAAUCAUCUCUUUUCUGUUACGUU